CCAAAACCUGAAAUAAAACAACAUCUACCAUGUUCAAACUGGAAGGACUCGGGCCUAAAAUGGACCCAGAGGAGAUGAAGAAGAAAAUGCGUCAAGAUGUAAUCUCAUCUUUACGAAACUUUCUUAUUUACGUCGCCCUUCUCAGAGCCACUCCAUACGUGUUAAAGAAGCUGGACAGCAUAUGAGCGGAGCAGCUGGCAUCGUCCCCCGUCUAUCCACUGAGAGUUCACUGCAUCCGAGACAGCACGCAUCUCCAUAUGUGGACAGCUGGGGCCCAUUACAGCAUCACUGUGGAACAUGACCUGUGUGUCCAUCACUGCACCGGGAGAACCAGCCUAUUCUUUGUUUUUUGUUUGUUUCAAGUUGUAAAUCUUCAGUUGUUUUUUUUUUUUUUAUUUAACAUAAUGAUCUUUGAUGUUGCACAGUUUGCGGUUUGGUAGUGUCUGCCAGCUUUGUCACAUAAUAAAGAGAGAUAAUGUUGA